AGAGUUUGAUCCUGGCUCAGGACGAACGCUGGCGGCGCGCCUAACACAUGCAAGUCGAACGAGAGAGAAGGAGCUUGCUUUUUCGAUCGAGUGGCGAACGGGUGAGUAACGCGUGAGGAACCUGCCUCAAAGAGGGGGACAACAGUUGGAAACGACUGCUAAUACCGCAUAAGCCCACGGCUCGGCAUCGAGCAGAGGGAAAAGGAGCAAUCCGCUUUGAGAUGGCCUCGCGUCCGAUUAGCUAGUUGGUGAGGUAACGGCCCACCAAGGCGACGAUCGGUAGCCGGACUGAGAGGUUGAACGGCCACAUUGGGACUGAGACACGGCCCAGACUCCUACGGGAGGCAGCAGUGGGGAAUAUUGCACAAUGGGGGAAACCCUGAUGCAGCGACGCCGCGUGGAGGAAGAAGGUCUUCGGAUUGUAAACUCCUGUUGUUGAGGAAGAUAAUGACGGUACUCAACAAGGAAGUGACGGCUAACUACGUGCCAGCAGCCGCGGUAAAACGUAGGUCACAAGCGUUGUCCGGAAUUACUGGGUGUAAAGGGAGCGCAGGCGGGAAGACAAGUUGGAAGUGAAAUCCAUGGGCUCAACCCAUGAACUGCUUUCAAAACUGUUUUUCUUGAGUAGUGCAGAGGUAGGCGGAAUUCCCGGUGUAGCGGUGGAAUGCGUAGAUAUCGGGAGGAACACCAGUGGCGAAGGCGGCCUACUGGGCACCAACUGACGCUGAGGCUCGAAAGUGUGGGUAGCAAACAGGAUUAGAUACCCUGGUAGUCCACACCGUAAACGAUGAUUACUAGGUGUUGGAGGAUUGACCCCUUCAGUGCCGCAGUUAACACAAUAAGUAAUCCACCUGGGGAGUACGACCGCAAGGUUGAAACUCAAAGGAAUUGACGGGGGCCCGCACAAGCAGUGGAGUAUGUGGUUUAAUUCGACGCAACGCGAAGAACCUUACCAAGUCUUGACAUCCCUUGACGAACAUAGAAAUAUG
rnacentral:rRNA from 1 species